UGCCAGCCGCCGCGGUAAUACGGAGGGUGCAAGCGUUAAUCGGAAUUACUGGGCGUAAAGCGCAUGUAGGCGGUUUGAUCAGUCGGAUGUGAAAUCCCCGAGCUUAACUUGGGAAUGGCAUUCGAAACUGUCAGGCUAGAGUAGAUUAGAGGAGAGGGGAAUUCCGCGUGUAGCAGUGAAAUGCGUAGAUAUGCGGAGGAACACCAAUGGCGAAGGCACCUCUCUGGGAUCAUACUGACGCUGAGAUGCGAAAGCGUGGGGAGCAAACAGGAUUAGAUACCCUGGUAGUCCACGCCCUAAACGAUGUCGACUAGUUGUUGGAAGGGUUUAAUCUUUCGGUGACGCAGCUAACGCAUUAAGUCGACCGCCUGGGGAGUACGGCCGCAAGGUUGAAACUCAAAGAAAUUGACGG
rnacentral:rRNA from 1 species